rnacentral:rRNA from 1 species
AACGAACGCUGGCGGCAGGCCUAACACAUGCAAGUCGAACGCUGUGGCAAUACAGAGUGGCAGACGGGUGAGUAACGCGUGGGAACCUACCCUUUGGUUCGGAAUAGCUCAGGGAAACUUGAGGUAAUACCGGAUACGCCCUUCGGGGGAAAGAUUUAUCGCCAAAGGAUGGGCCCGCGUCGGAUUAGCUAGUUGGUGGGGUAAUGGCCUACCAAGGCGACGAUCCGUAGCUGGUCUGAGAGGAUGAUCAGCCACACUGGGACUGAGACACGGCCCAGACUCCUACGGGAGGCAGCAGUGGGGAAUAUUGGACAAUGGGCGCAAGCCUGAUCCAGCCAUGCCGCGUGAGUGACGAAGGUCUUCGGAUUGUAAAGCUCUUUUGGCGGGGAAGAUAAUGACGGUACCCGCAGAAUAAGCCCCGGCUAACUUCGUGCCAGCCGCCGCAGUAAGAC